rnacentral:rRNA from 1 species
UACGUAGGGGGCAAGCGUUGUCCGGACUUAUUGGGCGUAAAGAGCGUGUAGGCGGUCAGGUAGGUCCGUUGUGAAAACUCGAGGCUCAACCUCGAGACGCCGAUGGAAACCAUCUGACUAGAGUCCGGAAGAGGAGAGUGGAAUUCCUGGUGUAGCGGUGAAAUGCGUAGAUAUCAGGAGGAACACCCGUAGCGAAGGCGGCACUCUGGGCCGAUACUGACACUGAGGAGCGAAAGCGUGGGGAGCGAACAGG